rnacentral:rRNA from 1 species
UAAGGAAUAUUGGUCAAUGGACGCAAGUCUGAACCAGCCAUGCCGCGUGAAGGAUGAAGGUCCUCUGGAUUGUAAACUUCUUUUAUCUGGGAAGAAACCCUUGAAUUCUUUCGAGGUUGACGGUACCAGAGGAAUAAGCACCGGCUAACUCCGUGCCAGCAGCCGCGGUAAUACGGAGGGUGCGAGCGUUAUCCGGAUUCACUGGGUUUAAAGGGUGCGUAGGUGGGUCUGUAAGUCAGUGGUGAAAUCUCCGAGCUUAACUUGGAAACUGCCAUUGAUACUAUAGCUCUUGAAUUUUCUGGAGGUAAGCGGAAUAUGUCAUGUAGCGGUGAAAUGCUUAGAUAUGACAUAGAACACCAAUUGCGAAGGCAGCUUGCUACAGGAACAUUGACACUGAGGCACGAAAGCGUGGGGAUCAAAC